CAUGUGCACGCCCGCCAUCCUCAUCUCUUCACCCUGUGCACCUCUUGUAGGCUUGGAUAGAUUUUUUUUUCCGAGGCAACUCGGUCGGGAGGAAUGCUGUGCGCAAGCCGGCUUUCUUUGCAAUUUUUCCAAGUCUAUGUUUUUCAUAUACCCCAUUAGUACGUAACAGAAUGUCAUUGGGCGCUUAGCACCUAUAAAGUUUAUACAACUUUCAGCAACGGAUCUCUUGGCUCUCGCAUCGAUGAAGAACGCAGCGAAAUGCGAUAAGUAAUGUGAAUUGCAGAAUUCAGUGAAUCAUCGAAUCUUUGAACGCACCUUGCGCUCCUUGGUAUUCCGAGGAGCAUGCCUGUUUGAGUGUCAUUAAAUUCUCAACCUUUAUUAGCUUUUGCUGGUAAAUGGCUUGGAUGUGGGGGCUUGCUGGCUUUGGUCAGCUCCCCUUAAAUGCAUUAGCCGGUGCCCUGUGUGGACUGUCUAUUGGUGUGAUAAUUAUCUACGCCAUGGGAUGUCUGCAAUGGUUUUGCGCUGCUUCUAACCGUCUGUUCAUUCGGACAAUUUCAAUGACAAUUUGACCU
rnacentral:rRNA from 1 species